UACAGGGGGCUCGAGCGUUAGUCGGAAUCACUGGGCUUAAAGGGUGCGUAGGCGGCUCGCCAAGUGCUUUGUGAAAUCCCACAGCUCAACUGUGGAACAGCAGGGCAAACUGGCGAGCUUGAGGCAGGUAGGGGCCGGAAGAACAGUUGGUGGAGCGGUGAAAUGCGUAGAUAUCAACUGGAAUGCCGAUGGGGAAGCCGUCCGGCUGGGCCUGACCUGACGCUGAGGCCCGAAAGCGUGGGGAGCAAACAGG
rnacentral:rRNA from 1 species